rnacentral:tRNA from 1 species
CGGGGUGUAGCUCAGCUUGGCAGAGCGCGGCGUUUGGGUCGCCGAGGCCGCAGGUUCAAAUCCUGUCACCCCGA